rnacentral:rRNA from 1 species
GACGAACCGAGCGAACGUUGUUCGGAAUCACUGGGCUUAAAGGGCGCGUAGGCGGGCUGCCGCGCCCGGGGUGAAAUCCCACGGCUCAACCGUGGAACGGCCCCGGGUACGGGCGGCCUCGAGGGGGGUAGGGGCGUGCGGAACUGUGGGUGGAGCGGUGAAAUGCGUUGAGAUCCACAGGAACUCCGGUGGCGAAGGCGGCACGCUGGACCCCUUCUGACGCUGAGGCGCGAAAGCCAGGGGAGCGAACGGG